GAAAAAAUUAGAAAAGAUUGGGAAUAAAUCUAGGAUGGUGUAGCUUCAGUUGCAUUUCAUAAAACACUUCCAGGACCAGAGGAAGAUGCGGUAACCCCCCAGAUCAGAGAAAAUUAAGAGAAUUCAUCUAAUUCAUAAUCUCUAACACGUGACAUUCGGCAACAUGUACAAAAUGCAGCGUACUCUACUCUCCUCCUUGGAUCUCGAGACAUUUUUCGAAGGUUGUCUUGCUUGCUCAGAGCCCCACAGGUUACCUGCAUCUCGGAGGCAUCCAUACAGCUCUGUGCGACACGGUGCAGCUAUUCAUUGGCUCAGGCAAACUAAGGAAAUUCUAUUCUACGUUUAGAAGACACAGAUCAAACAGGACUCGCACUAGAUGCUACCGGUAAACUCCAAGAGGAUCUAUUUUGGGCUGAAAUCAUCCCAUACAAAGACCCGACAAGGAGUGGAUCUGUAAGCCCUGACUUUCAAUCAAAACUGAGCUGGUUCAAGUUCUUCUGCAAAAUGCCUCGGCAUAGCUCUAGUUUGGUUUGGAUGAUAGACUGGGGCUCUUACGACAAGGAUCCUUGAAGCUUAGGCAAACACCGAAGCACGACGAGUGUAGACUCCUGAGCAAAGAGAAUCUGAAGAAUAAAUUGAGUCGACGAGAAUAUUACUCUGUCAGAUCUCAGAGGAUAACUGGGUUCAUAAUGUCGCCGUGUAUACAAAGUAUAAUUGUAGGCGCCACAGCAAAACGAGACGGUUGUAGGCAAGGGAUGCUCAAAUCAAACGAUCGUGGACUAACUUAGAGAAGGAAACUGUGGCGAUGAGGUUGUACUGGAGGAAAAAUUGCCACCUCUCCUUCAACUUGCAGAUUCAAUUCGCAAAGUCCUGAGAGGAGGAUGUUGAACUGAAUUCUGUACGCUACUUAUCCCGUAUCAUUCAUGUCUGGUGUAAAGAGCCUGGUUAGAGCAUUUCUUUAUCGGAAAUCGGAUUCCUGAUAGAAAAUUGAAUUUUCGUUCAGAAAAAAAAGGUCCCGGCAUUCAUACCGUGCAUCGAGAGAGAGGCGUGUGCAUAUUCCAGGAUCUUCUCGGGUUAUUCUCUACCCGUUUCUGCAUGCGAAUCUAUCCACUUGAAAACUACAUCAUUUGACACGAAGAUAUUUGCAACAACUUCGAACUAUUAUUAGAUCUAUGGUAUUUCCAAUUGAAAUGGUUUUACAGAAGAGCAACGACAUUGUAAUAUCUUCGUAGUUCGCAGUCGGUGUUCAAUUUUGUAAUCAGAUCCUUACUUCCUAGAUUAAAAUAUGAAGAAUCGCUGCCUUG
rnacentral:lncRNA from 1 species